GGGGAGGCGCAAACCCGCCUCCAGGGCGUCUAGGGUUAAGGCGAAGCCCUUCGGGACCGGGUCGUACGCCCGUUGUCCCGGUUCAGGCGCACCAAGAACGUAGUCCCCCGGGAUACCAUAGCGCUCCCGGAGUCCGACCAGUGACGACUCACUCACAGAGGAGUCCUGAUCAUGCGGCCACAUCAAGGCCUCAAGAGCCCGCGCC
rnacentral:lncRNA from 1 species